rnacentral:rRNA from 1 species
UCGAGCGAGUCUGCCUUGAAGAUCGGAGUGCUUGCACUCUGUGAAACAAGAUACAGGCUAGCGGCGGACGGGUGAGUAACACGUGGGUAACCUGCCCAAGAGAUCGGGAUAACACCUGGAAACAGAUGCUAAUACCGGAUAACAACAGAUGAUGCCUAUCAACUGUUUAAAAGAUGGUUCUGCUAUCACUCUUGGAUGGACCUGCGGUGCAUUAGCUAGUUGGUAGGGUAACGGCCUACCAAGGCGAUGAUGCAUAGCCGAGUUGAGAGACUGAUCGGCCACAUUGGGACUGAGACACGGCCCAAACUCCUACGGGAGGCAGCAGUAGGGAAUCUUCCACAAUGGACGCAAGUCUGAUGGAGCAACGCCGCGUGAGUGAAGAAGGGUUUCGGCUCGUAAAGCUCUGUUGUUGGUGAAGAAGGACAGGGGUAGUAACUGACCUUUGUUUGACGGUAAUCAAUUAGAAAGUCACGGCUAACUACGUGCCAGCAGCCGCGGUAAUACGUAGGUGGCAAGCGUUGUCCGGAUUUAUUGGGCGUAAAGCGAGUGCAGGCGGCUCGAUAAGUCUGAUGUGAAAGCCUUCGGCUCAACCGGAGAAUUGCAUCAGAAACUGUCGAGCUUGAGUACAGAAGAGGAGAGUGGAACUCCAUGUGUAGCGGUGAAAUGCGUAGAUAUAUGGAAGAACACCGGUGGCGAAGGCGGCUCUCUGGUCUGUUACUGACGCUGAGGCUCGAAAGCAUGGGUAGCGAACAGGAUUAGAUACCCUGGUAGUCCAUGCCGUAAACGAUGAGUGCUAAGUGUUGGGAGGUUUCCGCCUCUCAGUGCUGCAGCUAACG